rnacentral:rRNA from 1 species
CGUCAAGUCCUCAUGGCCUUUAUGUCUGGGGCUACACACGUGCUACAAUGGCCGGUACAGAGGGCAGCGAAGGCGCGAGCCGGAGCCAAUCCCGGAAAACCGGUCCCAGUUCGGAUCGAAGUCUGCAACUCGACUUCGUGAAGUCGGAAUCGCUAGUAAUCGCGGAUCAGAACGCCGCGGUGAAUACGUUCCCGGGCCUU